rnacentral:rRNA from 1 species
GUGGGGAAUAUUGGACAAUGGGCGCAAGCCUGAUCCAGCCAUGCCGCGUGAGUGAUGAAGGCCUUAGGGUUGUAAAGCUCUUUUGUCCGGGAAGAUAAUGACUGUACCGGAAGAAUAAGCCCCGGCUAACUUCGUGCCAGCAGCCGCGGUAAUACGAAGGGGGCUAGCGUUGUUCGGAAUCACUGGGCGUAAAGCGCACGUAGGCGGACCAUUAAGUCAGGGGUGAAAGCCUGGAGCUCAACUCCAGAACUGCCUUUGAUACUGAUGGUCUCGAGUAUGGAAGAGGUUGGUGGAACUGCGAGUGUAGAGGUGAAAUUCGUAGAUAUUCGCAAGAACACCGGUGGCGAAGGCGGCCAACUGGUCCAUUACUGACGCUGAGGUGCGAAAGCGUGGGGAGCAAACAGGAUUAGAAACCCGUGUAGUCC